rnacentral:rRNA from 1 species
CGGAGCCCUAAGUGGUGGCCAUGAUUAUUGGGCGUAAAGCGUUCGUAGCCGUUUUUGCAAGUUCUCGGUGAAAUUCUAGGUCUCAAGCCUAGAGCGUGCCGAGAAUACUACAAGAAUUGGGACUGGGAAGGGUAGAGAGAAUACCAGGAGUAGAGGUGAAAUUCUGUAAUUCCUGGCAGACUACCAGUGGCGAAGGCGCUCUACUAGAACAGGUCCGACGGUGAGGAACGAAAGCUUGGGUAGCGAACCGGAUUAGAUACCCGAGUAGUCC